AUGCUUCCUUAUGAGAUCUUUGCCGCUACUUUACAUUGUGUUAUACCAUCAAUUAAGCUAGACUUGAAAAAUUAUUUGCUUGGACAUGAUCAUACAUACAUUGUUGGUGGCAUUGCUCUCAUUCCUGAUGAUGACACUUAUUUUCCUUAUGCUAGUCCUAUGCUUAAUGAAACAUAUUAUUCCCACGCUAGUCUUGAGCUUAAUGAUAAAUUUCAUCCUCAUGUUAGUGUCGACCUUGCUGAUUUCUACCAUCCUAAACAUGUGCUUUAUAGCUAUGCUUAUGUAAUUGGAUAUUCGAUUGAUGACUUGGAGGGUAUUAUCCCUACCACUUGCAUUGUCUCUUUUGUUGAGAGUGCUUUCAGGUUUUUGCUUGUGCACGAUCCAUUACAUGUUGACCAGGUUCGAGGUGACAUUCCUUGGGACCCUGGUGGACUCAGAGCAUGGGGAUGA
rnacentral:rRNA from 1 species